UAGGGAAUCUUCGGCAAUGGACGAAAGUCUGACCGAGCAACGCCGCGUGAGUGAAGAAGGUUUUCGGAUCGUAAAACUCUGUUGUUAGAGAAGAACAAGGGUGAGAGUAACUGUCCACCCCUUGACGGUAUCUAACCAGAAAGCCACGGCUAACUACGUGCCAA
rnacentral:rRNA from 1 species